AACAAGCUGGGCUGGAACUAUAAAGACAGGAAAUUGGAAACAGAAGGGGGCUGCUGGGGAAGCCUGUAGUCACUCCCUGGGGGGAGAGAGGAGUAUUUGGAGGCUGUAGGGACAGGAUCUCAGAAAGGAGCAUAUGUGCCAACACUUCCAAAGCUAUCUACCACAUGCUGCAGAGAGGAGCAAAAUAUAGCAGGAAAGGCUCCAGACAUACAGAAGUCCCCUUGGUCUUCACAGACUGCUGCACUGGGCAGCAUAGUAUGGGGAGGAGAUGCCUCCAACGACCAUGUUGUACCUUGUACCUAAGAUGUGAAGAGGCUCUUCCACUUCUCUCUAAGCCCUUCUCUAACAGGAAACAAUAAAAUCAUACUCUCAGAAUGA